rnacentral:rRNA from 1 species
UACGAAGGGGGCUAGCGUUGCUCGGAAUCACUGGGCGUAAAGCGCACGUAGGCGGAUCUUUAAGUCGGGGGUGAAAUCCUGGAGCUCAACUCCAGAACUGCCUUCGAUACUGAGGACCUUGAGUCCGGGAGAGGUGAGUGGAACUGCGAGUGUAGAGGUGAAAUUCGUGGAUAUUCGCAAGAACACCAGUGGCGAAGGCGGCUCACUGGCC